GAUGAAGAACGCAGCGAAAUGCGAUACUUGGUGUGAAUUGCAGAAUCUCGUGAACCAUCGAGUCUUUGAACGCAAGUUGCGCCCGAAGCCAUUAGGCCGAGGGCACGCCUGCCUGGGCGUCACACGUCGUUGCCCCCCCAUCUACUCCUUCGGGAUUGCGGGGGGCGGAUGAUGGCCUCUCGUGCGCCUCGUCGCGCGGUUGGCCUAAAUGCCAAGUCCUCGGCGACGCACGCCACGACAAUCGGUGGUUGCGAAACCUCGGUUGCCUGUCGUGUGCGGUCGUCGCGCAUCGAGGGCUCGAAAAAAUUGCCGGGCUUCGGCUCGACUUUCAACGCGACCCCAGGUCAGGCGGGGUUACCCGCUGAAUUUAAGCAUAUCAAUAAGCGGAGGA
rnacentral:misc_RNA from 1 species